AGUGUGACCCGACCCACAGGACUUCAUGCAGACUGGGGCUUGCAGUGACAUUACAUGAUCAUAUUUUCUUUCUAACAGCACUGGCUGCUGGUAAGGCAGGCAGUGGGACAGUGGGGGAGACCAGAGGCGGGAGGCUCCAGGAUGGUGACCAGCAUGGACGGAAGUGGGCAGAUUCAGGAUACACUUUGAAGACAAUUUGUUCUUCCCACAGACCGCUUUACAUUUAUUCCAGGGCCAGAUGAAGUCCUGAGAGACCCACGAUGACUACAAUCAGCAGGUCUUACCUUGCCCUGUUAGCACCGAGGUGUCAUGAGCAGCAGGGCUUCAGAUGAGACCGGGAGAAAGCGGAGCAUUUCCACGUCCCUGUCCGGCUUGCAGGUCAAGUCAAGGACAGCCUCUUGAUUUAAUUUAUAAUCUGUGGUUCCCAACAGUUUGUGCAGAUCU